AUUGAACGCUGGCGGCAGGCCUAACACAUGCAAGUCGAGCGGAUGAAGGGAGCUUGCUCCUGGAUUCAGCGGCGGACGGGCGAGUAAUGCCUAGGAAUCUGCCUGGUAGUGGGGGAUAACGUCCGGAAACGGGCGCUAAUACCGCAUACGUCCUGAGGGAGAAAGUGGGGGAUCUUCGGACCUCACGCUAUCAGAUGAGCCUAGGUCGGAUUAGCUAGUUGGUGGGGUAAAGGCCUACCAAGGCGACGAUCCGUAACUGGUCUGAGAGGAUGAUCAGUCACACUGUAACUGAGACACGGUCCAGACUCCUACGGGAUGCAGCAGUGGGGAAUAUUGGACAAUGGGCGAAAGCCUGAUCCAGCCAUGCCGCGUGUGUGAAGAUGGUCUUCGGAUUGUAAAGCACUUUAAGUUGGGAGGAAGGGCAGUAAGUUAAUACCUUGCUGUUUUGACGUUACCAACAGAAUAAGCACCGGCUAACUUCGUG
rnacentral:rRNA from 1 species